CACCUUGUGUUACGGUACUCGCGAGAAACCGGGCAUGCGCAGAGCGGCGCAGAUACGGCAAGGAACAGCCGGCUCGGCGCCCGAUGCGUCACCAGUCUCGCCAUUUUCGAAGGCUCUGCUAUCGGCGCUGGUUUGGAAUCCGUUGGGCCACGUAUUGUACUCCCGCUUCAGGUGGCGACCUGUGGAACCCAGAGGAGUGCCUUGUUGCUGAUCGCCACAUGUUGGGAGCGGCUAGAGAACGUCACUACAGUAUUCUGCAUGUUAUUCACCAGUUAUUUUUCCUUUCACGUCUGUUAUGCUGAAAGAUUGUAGUCUACUUUGGAAUUCGUUCAAAGGGCACUUUUGGUAUUAACCCAGACCAUGGAGGCAAGGCUGAGAAAAAAAGCAAGGAAAGAGAACCCAAAAAUAUUCAGUUUGACGAAAAAAUCAUGGAUUCUGAAUGGAAUAUUUACGAGGCAUCAGAGAAAUGGAGUUGGAGAGUCUUUUAAGUAAAAAUUUGUAGUGAAUUAUUUAGCGAUUUGAAAUUUUGUGAUGAUAACGUUUUAUUUUUUGAAUCACGAGACAACUUCAGAGGAUGAUGGUGAAACAAAAAAGUGAAGCACUAGGGUGGACCUAACAAGGAGUUGGAAGAAAACCUAAUGUUCAACUGAUUUUUGAACACCUAAAAAUGUACAAGAUAGAUCAAACUGUUACAAAGAGAUUAUGAUAAAGUUAUUUAUUGUGCCUGGAAUGGACAUAUGCCAAAUGCAGAAUCCAGGUGUGUGGAGAACUUUAAUAAAUAGCAGUAUUGCCCAUUUC
rnacentral:lncRNA from 1 species